GCCGGCCGCUAGCCCGCUCCCGCCCGCCCACCCCUCCAGUCCCCAAGCUUGGGCUGCCCUCAGCGAAUGCCUGAACGGAGGCUGUCUGGCGACAGCGCGCCUGGGAAGUUAAAGGACUUUUUGUCCUGACCCACCCUUGGAGUUCCUGUCUCAUCAGUUCCACCCAGGCACCUUGGCAUUGAUAAACCCUCGAGAGUGACUGUUGCUUGGCAGGGGAGCCCCUGCCAAGUGUUCCUGACCACCAAGGCCGCUGUAGGAAGCACAGAAACGUCGUGGGCUCAGGCACCUGGAUUAAA